AUCAUGCAUGACCAUUAUUCUCUCACAACUAUUGUGUCAGUAUAUUCUGCAGCACGUGUGCGUUAUUACACUGAAAGAAAAAACACGAAGGAAAAAAGGGCGAAACUGUUUUUACCGAAUACGUUUAGACACACAGGAGAAACGUUAAGAGUGUGCCAAGAAGCUGGUAUUAGGAAAAGUUGCACAGAGUUCGCUGUGUUACACAAUGGAGCAGCCCCCGGGACUCUUGUUGCUAAACCCCAGACGGAGGACAUGCGAGGUUUUACUUCCGUUCAACAAUUCACUGAGACUAAUGCCACCUCCGGCUGCAUUAAGCGUGACCUACUCGAAUGCCCGCUCCUGCCCCAACACGUCUUCUCGAUUACCAACACUCUGGUCGCAUAACCUUAAGGUUCAGCACCACUAAUGCCACAGACAUCUCUAAGCUUGUUACUUCCAUCUCCUGACCCAAAACAACCAACUAAGAGACGAGGACACAAUCAGCAUUAUACCAGUCCGGUCUUAAAAUACAGACCAACUGCAGAAGAGACCAUCACAAUGGCAUUGAAAAGUUCCCCUUAUAUGUUUACGUCGACUCCUUUUAGUUACUUUCCAUAUUACACGUGUAAAAAUAGGAUUUUUGUCAACUUGUAACUCAUUUCUGUGUUCGUCUGCGCAGUAAUUGUAAACCUCUGACCCCAGAUACUGAGUAAUGUUCUGAUGCCUUGAUUAACAUUUUCUCCAUCAAUCAUGUACAACGUGCAACGCUGGUAGGCAUAAAAUCUUCGUGUGAUGAUAGAGCCUUGAUAAAUAAUAAAAAUUUAUCCUUGUCAUUCAGAAAAUGAAAUGCAUCUGCAUCUGAAUUCCGACG